rnacentral:rRNA from 1 species
GUUUGUUGUAAAUGGCGGCGUUAACGUGAGCGUCCUAAGGUAGCGCGAUAAUUUGCUUUUUAAUUGAAGGAUGGUAUGAAAGGGUUAACGAAGAAGAUGCUGUAUCUAAAAAUUUAAUUUAAACUAACUUUAAGGUGAAGAGGCCUUUAUGUAAAAGAAGGACGACAAGACCCUAUGAAGCUUUAUCUUAAUUGAAGGUUUUAGGCUUUUAUACGAUUUUGAUGGGAGAUCAGUAAAAAUAAGUCUUUUACUAUAACAUUAAUCUUACUAGAAUUUACUAAUUUUAUAUGUGUGACUAGCUACUCUAGGGAUAACAGCGCAAUUUCCCCCGAAAGAUGGUAUUGGAGGGGAAGAUUGCGACC